AAAAUGGCCUGGAAUCCUGUUCUAUUCUGAGGUGUGGCAGUGGAAGAAAAGGAAUGAAGAAAGAGCAGGAAUGGGGGAAAGGAAGAGAUGCACUCUGGAGAAUGAAGGUUAAUAGAAAAAU
rnacentral:lncRNA from 1 species